UACGGAGGGAGCUAGCGUUGUUCGGAAUUACUGGGCGUAAAGCGCACGUAGGCGGCUAUUCAAGUCGGGGGUGAAAGCCCGGGGCUCAACCCCGGAACUGCCCUCGAAACUAGAUAGCUAGAAUCUUGGAGAGGCGAGUGGAAUUCCGAGUGUAGAGGUGAAAUUCGUAGAUAUUAGGAAGAACACCAGUGGCGAAGGCGGCUCACUGGUCCGGUACUGACGCUGAGGUGCGAAAGCGUGGGGAGCAAACAGG
rnacentral:rRNA from 1 species